rnacentral:lncRNA from 1 species
UUUUAGUGAAUACUAAGUACCACUGGCUCUAUUUUCACAUUCCCUUCACUGGAAUCUUCAAUCUUUUACCUAUCAUGUUCACCUUUCUUUAUUUAUUUCAAUCCUUAUCUCCCCAAAAUUUACAGUUACCACAUACAUUACCGUUCUGGGUCCCACAUGCUCCUUCAUCCAACGGUUCAGAUCUUAUUAUUAGAUUGUGUUAGGGUUUACUCAACCUCAUUCGUCACCACCAACAACCACUACUAUAUAGCCUCUCACUUCUCUCUUUCCUCUUCCUCUCUCAUUUCAUUUCUCUGUUUUUUUGUUUUGUUUUGUACUCACGCGCCGCCCGGUUAUCUCCGGCGGCCACCCUUUAUCCCUUUUCGCAUCUAUCACCAUAUCUACCCUUACCCUUCCCUCUCCUCACUUAUUCCAUAAAAAAUUAAACAAAAUCGCAAAAUAAAAAAACAAAAUUGUUUUUUUGUUACUAGUAUCUAAACUACAGUUUCCUUUGUCUAUUUAGGUUUUUUCUGUUCCCAAUAACAAGAGGAGGGGGAAGAGAGAAGAAAAAAAAAUAGAAAAAAGAAAAACUAUAUAACUUUAGAAUUAACAAUUAGUAGCACAUAUAACAAUAUAUGAUAUACGUUAGUUUCAAACUCAAUAUCACAAAAGUUAGAAGAUAUGUUCUAAAUCAUCAAGACACUGAGAACCAAUAUAGUAAGUAAUAACAUAUAUAAUACUCAUAUAGUAACAUAUAUAACACUACAAAUUCACACAAAUUUGAUAAUUUAAUUCAAAAAAUUGGUUGGAGAAUUUAAACAAUAAUAAAAUAUUAUUUCAUAGUAUCUAUUUUUUUAAUAUGCAAUUCAGUUCUAAUAGUUCCUAAAUUUCUAAAACCAUAAUCUGAAUCAAAUAUAUAUGGUUCCUUACGAAAAAUAACUGAACCACAUUUUGUAAGUUUGGUUUGGUUCUAUCAAUUUUAUGGUUUAAACUAGAACCACUUACACCCCAACCUUACUUAUUUAUUUAUAUAUAUCUAUAUUAGUAAAUUACAGCAACAUCUAACAAUUUUAUGAAGCACCCCUUAUAUUUGUGUAUUAAUAAGGGAAAGAAGCUAGGUGGAGACAAGAAAUCUAAAACCUAACAAGGGUAGAGAUAAUGUUCAUUUUUUCAACCAUGAAUAAUUCAUGUUUGGGUUUUAGAGGCUGGGAACAUAAAAAUCAAACCAACCAAUCUGCUUUUAUUCCUGCAUGAGAUUAUAGAUUAUAUUUGAUAUAAACAUUAUGUUUUAUAUAAUAUAUAAACUAAAUUAGUUUAGAAGAAAACAUUCCCAACCAAAUAGCAAUAAUUUUCUUACUUUAUAACCCUUUUAGUGAAUACUAAGUACCACUGGCUCUAUUUUCACAUUCCCUUCACUGGAAUCUUCAAUCUUUUACCUAUCAUGUUCACCUUUCUUUAUUUAUUUCAAUCCUUAUCUCCCCAAAAUUUACAGUUACCACAUACAUUACCGUUCUGGGUCCCACAUGCUCCUUCAUCCAACGGUUCAGAUCUUAUUAUUAGAUUGUGUUAGGGUUUACUCAACCUCAUUCGUCACCACCAACAACCACUACUAUAUAGCCUCUCACUUCUCUCUUUCCUCUUCCUCUCUCAUUUCAUUUCUCUGUUUUUUUGUUUUGUUUUGUACUCACGCGCCGCCCGGUUAUCUCCGGCGGCCACCCUUUAUCCCUUUUCGCAUCUAUCACCAUAUCUACCCUUACCCUUCCCUCUCCUCACUUAUUCCAUAAAAAAUUAAACAAAAUCGCAAAAUAAAAAAACAAAAUUGUUUUUUUGUUACUAGUAUCUAAACUACAGUUUCCUUUGUCUAUUUAGGUUUUUUCUGUUCCCAAUAACAAGAGGAGGGGGAAGAGAGAAGAAAAAAAAAUAGAAAAAAGAAAAACUUUUUUGAGAAAAAAAAAUUCAUUCUGUUGAGAUGGCUCAGGUUCAGGCUCAGAAUGUG